rnacentral:rRNA from 1 species
AUUGAACGCUAGCGGGAUGCCUUACACAUGCAAGUCGAACGGAGUGGCGAACGGGUGAGUAAUGUAUCGGAACGUGCCCCGUAGCGGGGGAUAACUACGCGAAAGCGUAGCUAAUACCGCAUACUAUUUGAGCGGCCGAUAUCGGAUUAGCUAGUUGGUGGGGUAACGGCUAACACAGGCGACGAUCCGUAUCUGGUUUGAGAGGACGACCAGCCACAAUUGGACGGAGACACGGCCCAGACUCAUACUGGAGGCAGCAGUGGGGAAGUUUGUACAAUGGGGGAAACCCUGAUCCAGCCAUCCCGCGUGUGCGAUGAAGGCCUUCGGGUUGGAAAGCACUUUUGGCAGGAAAGCGGUACCUGCAGAAUAAGCACCGGCUAACUACGUGCCAGCAGCCGCGGUAAUAC